rfam:Syntrophomonas zehnderi OL-4 genome assembly, contig: OL-4DRAFT_scaffold-12
UUAUUGGAGAGUUUGAUCCUGGCUCAGGACGAACGCUGGCGGCGUGCCUAACACAUGCAAGUCGAACGGACUAAUGUUUGACACUGAGUGUUUUAAGAAGGAUCAAGAAGAGUCAAGACCCGAA